rnacentral:rRNA from 1 species
CCUACGUGUGGCAGCAGUGAGGAAUAUUGGUCAAUGGACGGAAGUCUGAACCAGCCAUGCCGCGUGCAGGAAGACGGCUCUAUGAGUUGUAAACUGCUUUUGUACAAGGGUAAACCUGAAUACGUGUAUUCAGCUGAAAGUACUGUACGAAUAAGGAUCGGCUAACUCCGUGCCAACAGCCGCGGUAAUACGGAGGAUCCAAGCGUUAUCCGGAUUUAUUGGGUUUAAAGGGUGCGUAGGCGGAUUGAUAAGUUAGAGGUGAAAUGUCCGAGCUUAACUCGGGAACUGCCUCUAAUACUGUUGAUCUAGAGAGUAGAUGCGGUAGGCGGAAUGUAUGGUGUAGCGGUGAAAUGCUUAGAGAUCAUACAGAACACCGAUUGCGAAGGCAGCUUACCAAUCUAUAUCUGACGUUGAGGCACGAAAGCGUGGGGAGCAAACAGGAUUAGAUACCCUAGUAGUC